ensembl:lncRNA
CUAUGGGGUUGUCCCCCCCCAGAUGUCACCUCACCCCCCCCAGGUGGCACCUAUGGGGCUGUCAGCCCCCCAAUGUCACCUAUAGGGCUGUCACCCCCCCCAAAGGUCACUUAUGGGGUUCUCACCCCCUCAAGUGUCACCUAUGGGGCUGUCAGCCCCCAGAUGUCACCUCACCCCCCCCAGAUGGCACCUAUGGGGCUGCCACCCCCCCCAGAGAUCACUUAUGGGGCUGUCACCCUCCCCCAGAGCUCACUUAUGGGGCUGUCACCCUCCCCCAGAGGUCACCUAUGGGGCUGUCACCCCCCCCAAGUGUCACCUAUGGGGUUGUCCCCCCCCAGAGGUCACCUCACCCCCCCCACGUGGCACC